rnacentral:ncRNA from 1 species
GCCAAGCGGGCACUUCGGUCCGCAUCCGGACGAUGGAGCCGUACCCGGGAUCACGACAAGACGGCCAGA